rnacentral:rRNA from 1 species
UACAGAGGGUGCGAGCGUUAAUCGGAAUUACUGGGCGUAAAGCGCACGUAGGUGGCGACGUAAGUCGGGUGUGAAAGCCCCGGGCUCAACCUGGGAAUUGCAUUCGAGACUGCAUUGCUGGAGUACGGAAGAGGAGGGCGGAAUUCCCGGUGUAGCGGUGAAAUGCGUAGAUAUUCGGAAGAACACCAGUGGCGAAGGCGACUUACUGGACACAUAUUGACGCUGAGGUGCGAAAGCGUGGGGAGCAAACAGG